CAAGCCUAGCCUAAAACUAACGAUACAAAUACCACAACCCCUUUUAGAUAAAACAUUCAACAAUAAAAGUAUAGGAGAUAGAAAUUUUCUCAAGCGCUAUAGAAACAGUACCGUAAGGGAAAGAUGAAAUAACACGUAAAGUAAAAAAUAGCAUAGAUUAACCCUACUACCUUUUGCAUAAUGAGUUAACCAGAAAUAUCUUGACAAAGAGAACUUCAGCCAAAUACCCCGAAACCAAAUGAGCUACGUCUGAACAGCCAAAAGGGCAAUCUCGUCUAUGUAGCAAAAUAGUGAGAAGAUUUAGAAGUAGAGGUGAAAAGCCAAUCGAAUUUGGAGAUAGCCGGUUAUCCAAACAAGAAUAUAAGUUCAACUUUAAGUUAUUCCUAUAAAUAAAAAUAAAUCAAAUGUAAACUUAAAUGUUAAUUUAAAGAGGGACAGCUCUUUAAAAAAGGAAACAACCUAGAACAGAGGAUAAACCCAUUUUUUCCCAUAGUCGGCUUAAAAGCAGCCAUCAAUUAAGAAAGCGUUCAAGCUCAACUAAUCCGCCCACACUUAAUCCCAAAAAAACAAAAAUAAUUCCCUGGUCUAACAAUUGGAUUAAUCUAUUAAUACAUAGAAGGAAUAAUGUUAAUAUCAGUAAUUAGAGAUAACUCUCCCAGCACAAGGCCUACCAUAGGUGUAACCUAAUUGAUUAACAACUCUAUAAGACAAAACACACAAACAAGUAUCUUAUUUACAAAUAUUGUUAACCCGACACAGGAGUGCAACCAAGGAAAGACGAAAACAAGCAAAAGGAACUCGGCAAA
rnacentral:rRNA from 1 species